AGAUUGAACGCUGGCGGAAUGCUUUACACAUGCAAGUCGAGCGGCAGCGCGGGGCGAACCUGGCGGCGAGCGGCGAACGGGUGAGUAAUGCAUCGGAACGUGUCCAUGUCGUGGGGGGAGUAGCCCGGCGAAAGCCGGAUUAAUACCGCAUACGCCCGAGAGGGGAAAGUGGGGGACCGCAAGGCCUCACGCGAUUGGAUCGGCCGAUGUCCGAUUAGCUAGUUGGCGGGUAAAGGCCCACCAAGGACGAUGAUCGGUAGCUGGUCUGAGAGGAUGAUCAGCCACACUGGGACUGAGACACGGCCCAGACUCCGUACGGGAGCAGCAGGUGGGGUAAUUUUGGACGAAGUGGGGGACGAACCCUGGAGUACCAGCCAGUUCCGCGUGAGUGAAGAAGGCCGUUCGGGUUAGUAAAGUCUUACGUUUUCGGUACCGGUAAACGGUAAACGGUAAGGACGUAG
rnacentral:rRNA from 1 species